GUAGAGGUUGGGUGGAUGGUAGGUAGGAUAAAGGGUAAGCAGAGGUUGGGUGGAUGGUAGGUAUGAUAGAGGGUAUGUAGAGGUUGGGUGGAUGGUAGGUAGGAUAGAGGGUAGGUAGAGGUUGGGUGGAUGGUAGGUAGGAUAAAGGGUAAGCAGAGGUUGGGUGGAUGGUAGGUAUGAUAGAGGGUAUGUAGAGGUUGGGUGGAUGGUAGGUAGGAUAGAGGAUAGGCAGAGGUUGGGUGGAUGGUAGGCAGGAUAGAGUGUAGGUAGAGGCUGGGUGGAUGGCAUGUAGGAUAGAGG